GCCUUGGAUAGCUCAGACGGUAGAGCGGCACGUUGAAAGCGUGCGCGUCGGUGGUUCGAUCCCAUCUCCAGGCACCA
rnacentral:tRNA from 1 species